rnacentral:lncRNA from 1 species
CUGCUCAGCUUAUAGACUCCUAGGGAACAUUGUAAGCAUUGAAAAGUUUAGUUCCAUUACUUCUAAUGUAAUGUCUACAGAGGAUAAAGGAGUACCCAGCAGAGUCAAUUUGCUUCUGAAAACCUUGACCUAGAGCUGUUGUGGAUGAACAGUAAAAAGGGUUGGGCUGUGAAGGUGUGUGUGGUGUUUUGAGUGGUUGAAAAAGAAGAGGGGAUUUGUGAUCUUUGUUCAGCAAAUCUGUCACAUUUAAACCCAAAAUAACCAAGUCCAGGAUCUGAAAAUGAAAACAUUCUUUUCUUUUAUUGACCAUAUAAAUUCAUGUUGACUGGCCAUUGCAUUUGGGGUGGUAUUCUUUCUCUCAUUAAAGACCCAAAGGAUUACAAUUCUGAUCAUUAGAAUUCCAGAAAUGGUAAAUAUUCUCCAUUGAAAAUAGGACCAACUGGGAGACCUACAUAGUUGUAGGUGGGCUUCCAUGAAUCCAUCUCAGAAAUAUCGUCAUGAUUCUAUGGCCAUUAUAGAUGCUAAGCCACAUUAUUAAAUGUCAUUUUAUUAGCUGGAGUAUUUCUGGAUUCAUUUGAAGAAUUUUCAUAAAAAUGAAUUUGUGACCUUUAGUCAGAUUAAACUUAGUGAAUAUAUAGUUAUUCAUUAUAAAAUAAAUUGCCAUCAACUCUCAUUUUUAUAAUUUUAUAAUCUUGUUUUUAUGAAAUUUUUGUUAAAGUUUGCAUUUUAGCAAGUGACUAGUAAAAUGACUGAAACUGAUCCCAUACUAAGUAAAACAUUUGAAAAAAAUAACAAAUUUAGGGGUCUUAUAUGUACAAGCUGCAUUUUAACACCGACUUCACUAUUCAUAGUAUACAUUUGUCAGCAUAUAUAUCUGAUUUUUAUAUCCCCAAACUAUCCCAAGAGAGCAGAGGAAAGGAAGAUACUCAAUGGAAGUUACUAAAGAAAAUACGAGAAAACAAUUCAUGACCAUCCUACAUGAACGUUCUCACCAAACAUAUCAAAGUAUAAAGAAAUGAGUAUUUUGGAAACAACCAUCAUCUAUAAUAAAAUAGGAAAAAGGAAAGUGUGAUGGAAGAUAAUACAAGAAAAAGAAUGUAUAUAUGUAUAUGACUGGGUUACUAUGCUGUACAGCAGAAACUGAUGCAAACAUUGUAAAUCAACUAUACUUUAAUAAAAAAUUGUAAAGGAAAGGAUGAAGAUAUCAGAUUGAAAAUAAACUCUAAAUUUUUGCAUAUGCAGAUGUUUCUUUAAGUCAUAAAAUCAUUCUUCUUUCAAAAACGGCCUCACCAGCCAUUUAAGAAUGCAAAAACUCUUCUCUCGGAGUUCCCGUCGUGGCGCAGUGGUUAACGAAUCUGGAAUCUGACUAGGAACCAUGAGGUUGCGGGUUUGGUCCCUGCCCUUGCUCAGUGGGUUAACGAUCCAGCGUUGCCGUGAGCUGUGGUGUAGGGUGCAGACGCGGCUUGGAUCCCACGUUGCUGUGGCUCUGGCGUAGGCCGGUGGCUACGGGUCCGAUUGGACCCCUAGCCUGGAAACCUCCAUAUGCCGCGGGAGCGGCCCAAGAAAUAGCAAAAAGACAAAAAAAAAAAAAAAAAAAAAAAAAAAAAAAACCUUUUCUCUCAUGCUUAAUUUUCUGUCAGAGUAUGGAAUCCACCUAAUAUUUAUUCAUUCAUUAAGGAUAUACUAUUAUAGCCUAAAUUUAGAUAUGCAUUGCAUUUGUUUUCUUAAAAAAAUUAGUAUCAGGAGUUCCCAUCGUGGCGCAGUGGUUGACAAAUCCGACUAGGAACCAUGGGGUUGCGGGUUUGAUCCCUAGCCUUGCUUAGUGGGUUAAGGAUCCAGCUUUGUCGUGAGCUGUGGUGUAGGUUGCAGACAUGGCUCGGAUUCCACAUUGCUGUGGCCCUGGCGUAGCCCCGGUGGCUACAGCUCCGAUUCAACCCCUAGCCUGGGAACCUCCAUAUGCCGUGGGAGCAGCCCAAGAAGUGGCAAAAAGACAGAAAAAAAAAAUUAACCAAAGAUGGUUAUUUACUGGAAGCAAGAAAGUCAUCAUUCUCUAAUUAAAUUUUUGUUUGUUACUUAGAUAUUAUUAUUUACUCUGAAAUAAGAAAUAGUACUGAAAAUAUGCUUUAGUAAUAACAAUCCCAAAGCUACCAUGAUCGUAAAGGCUUCUUUCAUUUUAUCAAGACAGACUGUCAAAAUAUGUGGGCUUUUCUGGAAGGUUUAACUACAAAGAUAGCUGUCAGGGGAUAAGUCAGGUCUCUUUAAUACCACUCUCAUUCCUGGGCUUUAUCCUGGGGAAUAAGAGAGUAAGAAGCCCUAGUGACCCUUUAAAUCACCUCUACACCCAGGGAAAUGUCCACCUGCCAGAGUUAGAACAGAGGAGGGAAGAGAAGGGCACUCUUUCUCUGUACUAGGGCAGAGGGCCUCCCAGAGUCUCUUGGUCCAACUAUUUUUUUUUUCUUUUCUCAUGGCAUUAUCUUUGUUUCCUGCUAUUUCCACUUAUCUUUUCCCAAAAGAAACAAAGGCCUUCCUUGCAAAUGUCACCAUUCCUACGUUGUUAAAGGAGGAAAAAAUCCCAAGGUAGUUAGCUCUGGGGGCUGUAAGAUUCAUGCACAUUACAAAGCUAGUCCAUGGGCCCGGAGUUGGAAGAACAUCUGCAUAAGUGUCACAGGUAGAGUUGGGUUUAAUAAUAACGGAGGUCUGUUGAAGAAUUCAUACCAAAAUAAAAAUGAAAUGGACCUGACAGCCAUCCUUCAGGUCAGAACAAAAUAUCCAUUUUUUCAAAUCAAACUUUUUGUUUUAGAACAAUGUUAAAUUUUCAGAAAAAUUGUGAAGAUAGGACCAGAGUUCCCAUAUAACCCACACCAAGUUCCCCUAUUAUUAAUAUCUGACAUUAAUAUGGUAACUUUGCUAUAGUUGAAGGACCAGGAUUGAUACAUUAGUAACUAAGGAGUUCCAGUACCAUAGGGUGGUAUUGCUAUUAAUAUGGGGUUGGUUUUGCAGGCAUUGUGUUCCCAAAGUACAGGUGCCCCCCAGAAUUGCUUGCAUCAUGCAUUUUAUAUCGCUAGUAAUAGCAAGUGGAAUGUUGGCUCUCACGUCAAGAACUUUGAAAGUGUACCAUUUCACUCCAUUAUAAAAUACAAAAAUUUAAAACAGGUUAAAAAUAACAGUCAAAGGAUAAUGAGAAGACGAUUGGUCUAAGCAAUAAAAGAGCUAUUUGGAAUAACAACUUUUGACUUUCUAUGCUUCACUAAGAGCAAAACAUAAGCAAAAAAGGGAUGAGGAUUACAGAGAAAGACAAGUAUGUGUCAGUGGUAUAAAGAACCAGUAGUUAUGACUUGGUUGAUCAAAACCAAGGAUGCAGGUCAAUGAAAAGAAUCAGGUUAGUAACUUGACACGGUUUAAAUAAAAUAAUGUACUCUCUACUGAAAGGUCAAUUCAGCAUUAGAAAAGAUCGGAUGGAAACACUAAUCUCUUGUUCUAAAGAUAAAUUUGGGCUUGAAAAAAGAAAUCGAAUUUAGUUUUAUGGAAAAACAAAAGUACAGCACACCUGGAAGUUCCUGGGCCAGGGAUAGAAUCUGAGCUGUAGCUAUGACCUGCACACAGCUGGAUCCUUUAACCCACUGCUCCUGGCCAGGGAUCCAACCCACACCUCUGCAGCAACCCAAGCUGUUGCUAUUGGAUUCUUAACCCACUUCACCACAGGGGGAACUCCCAGCAUGUGUUUUUAAAGACUUGCGUUUUGGUUAUUUUGACCCGUUGCAAAUACUAAUCCAAGUACAACUUUGAAUUGAUUUAAUUCUAGUAGAGACGUUGCUCUUGACAUGCAUUCAGCUCAGUGGUUUUCUUGCUCAAUUUUGCAAAGCUAAGAAAUUUGAUUGGUUUCGAAUUUAGCUCCAAGCAAUGUUCAGAAGUUUUGUGUUUGUUUGACCUGACCAUUUAAGUAUUUUAAAACUAUGCAACAUUUAACUUUCAGAACGAAUUCUUACUGUUAAAAAUACCUAAGGAUAUUGAAAAAGUUAUACAUUGGUACAUUUUCUAUGAAUUUAAUGACCAUAUAACCAAGAAGAGUUAACAAAUACAGUUUUGAUUUAUAGAUCAAAAAUGUUUUCUACUCCACAUUUAUCUGUUUUACCAUGAAAGUAUUCACUUUUUAAAAAUUGUUAUUAUAGUGAGAUUAAAGACCACAGUUAAGAAUGGAAAACUAUCCAAAGCCAAAUACGGCCAUCUAAAUGUGCAGUUACAAUAGAAACCACAUCCUUGUGGUACUGGCUGGGCCAAGUGUUGGAAGGUAUGGUGGCAUCUGGUUGACCUUCAUGUGCACAUCUGUGAGUAGUCCAGAAAAGUGAGCCUGUACUAAAGGAUUGAGCAGAGCAGUCCUGGAGAUAGACAGUGGAGGAAGUUUUGUGCUAAUUCAAGAAGGAUGUCAAAUGUCAAACUAAGAGAUCCAGGCCUCAUUCUGAUGUACAAGGAGGUCAUUAUUCCUGACUGUACAGGGAAGUAAAAUGAUACCCUUGAGGAGAAGUAGAUAGCUUACGAAGUAUCACUUCUCCAUGGCUUAUUUUAAAUAAAAAAAUCAAAUUGCUUUUGACAAAAAUCAUUUUGUAAUUUGAAAUAUAAUUUUUUUAUAUUUUUAAUGUAUUUAAGUAAAUUUUUAAAUAAAUAAAAUACUGUAUUAUAUUUAUUUAUGAAUUGUUUUAUAACCUGAAAUAUAAACUGUUAUAGCAUAAAAAAGUGCUUACAAAGUGUUUACUA